GAAGAUGGGGAAAUAGACCAACUUUAAAAAAAAGAAAAAGGGCCCUCGUGGCCCAGUGGGUAGAGUGAUGCACUUUGAGUUUGGCGUGAGGGAAGUGAGGGGCGCGUAGGUUCGAACCCCCCUCUCGGAACUCACAAAAACCUUGAAAGAGCAUCCCUCCAUCACCAUGUGUGAUGGAACUGCCCACGGGGAGGAGGGGAGGUGAGUGCGCAGCACCUCCCUACCCCUCCCCAGGGGAGGAAGGCACCGCCUUACCGGCCCCCGGGAGAGCAAGGGAGGUGAGUGCACAGCGCUUCCCUUCUCUCCCCUACCUAACCCUGGCAAGUCUACGGACUACCAGGCAAAAAAUAAUAAAAAAUAAAAAAAAUAAAAAACGAAAAAGAAAAAAAAUAAUAAAUAAAUAAAGGUGAGUGCAUAGCACUUCCCUUCUCUUCCAACCUACCAGGCAAAAGAUAGAAAAAAAAAUAAUGAAUAAAGAAUUAAGGUGAGUGCAUAGCACUUCCCUUGUCUCCUAACCUACCACGCAAAAAAAAAAAAUAAAUAAAUAAAAUAAAUAAAUAAAGAUGAAUAAAUAAAUAAAUAAAAAUAAAUAAAAACCUCCUUACCACCUCGGACCUCGGGAGAGCAGGGGAGGUGAGUGCACAGCACUUCCCUUCUCUCCUAAAGUCUACGGACUGCCAGACUAAAAAGAAUAAAAUAUAUAUAGGUAUAAAAAAUAAUAAAAGUAAUAAAAAAAAGAUAAAUGAAAAAAUAAGUAAAUAAAACAAGAACAAUAAAACUCCUAGUCGCACUUCAAUAAAACUGACUGAGUCUGGCAAUGAACAAUAAAUAAUAAAAAUAAAACAAUACCAACUGACUGACCCUGACAACCCCAAAGACCACCACCCCACCUGGGAAGCACGGGAGGUGAGUGUGCAGCACCUCCCUACCCUUCCCAGUCUCCCAGUUUGACUUUGACCACCAAUCUGACUCAUCCUACCAACUCCAAAGAGCAACUCCAACUGUACAGACCACCACCACCACCACCCUUCUGAUCUCGGCAAGGUGAGUGCGUAGCACUUCCCUGGACUGACCCUGACUGACUGACCCUGGCAACUCCAAAAACAACCAACCUGACUGACUUACAGAUAUGUAAUCACCUAACUGACUGGCCCUGGGGAGCAUGGGAGGUGAGUGUGCAGCACCUCCCUACCCUUCCCAGUCUCCCAGUUUGACUUUGACCACCAAUCUGACUCAUCCUAGCAACUCUAACUGUACCGACCACCACCAGUACUCCCCACCCUGGCAACUGAUCCUGGCAAGGUGAGUGCGUAGCACUUCCCGUGACUCCUCCUGGCAGCUCCAAAGACCCACCAUCCUGACCGCCCCUGGGAAGCACGGGAGGUGAGUGUGCAGCACCUCCCUACCCUUCCCAGUCUCCCAGUUUGACUUUGACCACCAAUGUGACUCAUCCUACCAACUCCAAAUGUACACACCACCACCACCACCCCUCUGAUCUUGGCAAGGUGAGUGCGUAGCACUACCCUUGACUGACUGGGCCUGACUGACUGACCCCGGCAACUUCAAAAACAACCAACCAGACUGAUGUUACAAAUGUAACCUGGGGAGCAUGGGAGGUGAGUGUGCAGCACCUCCCUACCCUUCCCAGUCUUCCACCAACCUGACUUGAAUUAUGACUGGGGAGCAAGGGAGGUGAGUGUGCAGUACUCCUACUAUCCCCACUCUGAAUACCCUAUCACCAACCAAUUCAGACCACCAAACUGUCUUAGAAGAACAAGAACAGGAAGCAACGCCAUCAGAGGAAGAAGAAGCAGCAGCAGCAGCAUUACCGCCAUCAGAGGAAGAAAACAAGAAAAAGAAGCAAAGAAAAAGAAUUACCACCACUGUUAUCGGAGGAAGAAACAGCAGCGUCACCGCCAUCAGAGGAAGAAACAUAUAUAUGUAAACUACGACUGGUCAAACUUUCUGUGGCACCAGGCUAAGUUCGACCUGUGAUGGGCUGUGUUUAGAGAGGGAAAAAAAGUUCCAGGGGUUCAUGAAAGGAAAGUACACUAACAGGGGACUGACUGUGAAAGUGCCAGGCAAGGCUGCUGCUUCAGACAUCCACACUUCAACUUCAACUAUGCAUGCGAAAAUGUUGCUGUAUUCCUACUCCUAUUCCUUAUUUUU